rnacentral:rRNA from 1 species
UACGAAGGGUGCAAGCGUUACUCGGAAUUACUGGGCGUAAAGCGUGCGUAGGUGGUUUGUUAAGUCUGUUGUGAAAGCCCCGGGCUCAACCUGGGAAUGGCAAUGGAUACUGGCAAGCUAGAGUGCGGUAGAGGGUAGUGGAAUUCCCGGUGUAGCGGUGAAAUGCGUAGAGAUCGGAAGGAACACCAGUGGCGAAGGCGGCUACCUGGCCUAAUACUGACACUGAGGCACGAAAGCGUGGGGAGCAAACAGG